CCUACACGGGACUCUGGCCUUGGUCCAAGUGAACUACUUGUGGUUACACAGAGUCAUGGUGACUUUGCAGAUGCAAGCCAGAGAUCAGCUGCUGUUUUGCCUUUUUUUUUUUAAAUAUUCUGGAUUGUGUUCUUAAUAAUUUUUCAGGGUGCCUAUGGGAUAGGUGGUUUUCUGUUCUAUGUUUAAUUUAAAUAUAUCAAAUACAUUUACAUAGAAAGAAAUCUAAAGUACAUGGAAACUUUCUGCUGGAUAUUUACAGAUAUUUCUCUGGUGUUGCAGCAGCGAACCAGCUGAGCGGCGGCGAACAGCAGAGCAGCUAACAGCAGGAGUUUGCCUGGGAUCUGUGUUGCUUUCUUUUACAACAAACCAGAACUGGGACAAAGGUCAGAAGGAUCACAUUUUAUCAGGGUCCAUAGUCACCAUGCAAGGCUGCUCUCAUCCCUCCUCCUGAAUGCUGUCUGCAAGAGGCUUGCAUGAUCUUGGCCAGGAAGCAGAGAACAACACAGUUAGCAAUUUCUUAGGUCUUUGGAGGCUCAAAGAUGCUACCAUGAGCUGUGCCAUCAGUAGGAGCAAAUUACAAUGGCUUCUCAGUGUCAGCAAUGGGAAAACUGUCUGUUCAGCUGCCCAGGAGCACCUUUUAUCCUACUUUUUAGUUGGACAAAGAAAGUGCAUAGGGACAAACCAAUAUUGUGGAAGGAGAGAGAUGACAUUGGUCCUUAUAACCAAAAGAGAGGAAAUAAACACUUUAAACGUAUCAUUUACUGCAUCAUCAUUUGAAUUUAGUACAUAUGUGGAAGAACAGAAUCCGAUGCUUACAAACAUGAUGAAGCAGUACAAAUAGUUCCUGAUGAACCAGUCCAUAUCACAACUGAUCUCCCUAAUGGUAGUAUCUCCAGUGAGACUACUGAAUGAACAGGAGACAGGUUAUCCUGAGAGCAUGGCUAGAAAGGCAACAUCUGAGAAUCCAAUGCACAUAUUGAUGUGCCUUCUGGUAUUUUAUUCCAUUUGCAUGCAGAAAAAAAUUGGAAACUUCCAAAUAAAACGCAUAGAAGUCCUGUUAUUAAUUUCUGCAGUCAUUCACAAUGUACAGACUCAAUGUAAUUAAAGCUACAAAGCCAAGAUAAGGAUGAAAUAUUUGUAUUAGCUCCAACUUCCAAAAAAUGUCACCUUCAAGCCGACACAAGGCCUGUGACAGUUAAUGAAAGUUACAAGAGAAUGAAAACAGCUGGUUAUAAUGGUGAUAAUGCUCAUGCAACCUACAGUGCUCCAGCUAUAAUAAUGCCUGCACAUUGGAGUAAGCUGUCAGACUUGUAUGUGAGUAUUAAAAGUCUCAGUGCCCUAAUGCUGACCAUGAGGAGUGAAUCAUUCUUCAGUGGAGCACUCAAGGAUUUGGCUGCACAACUCUUAUUAAUAGUAAAGAGGGGCUUAAGUUACCCUUUGAAAACAGAGCCCAUUGGCCCAACUCUUAUUUUCAUACAUGUGGGUGGGUGUUCUUGACAGUGAAUUUUGCAACACAGCUGCUGAUUUUGCAUAUGCGCAAUCAGAGACGAAUGCCUAUGAAUAGAGCCCUGCGUGGAUACAAAAUAUGUAUCUGUAUCUGAUCCACGAUCCACAAACAUGGUCUGUGGCUAUCCGCAUCCAGAUGCGGAUAUCCCUGGAUAUAAAGUGGAUAUUCACAGAUUUGCAGGGCUCUAUCUCUCCAUUAUUAUUAUUUAUCUGUACCACAGUAGUGCAUAAGAGGUUCCAACCCCAUUGUGCUAGGCAUUGUAGAAACACAUCAUACAGAGAUAUUUUCCACCAGAAAGCAUCAAGGUGCUUUUUUGAAACUGACAACAUGGUUGUUUUUCAACAUAUCAUUUAAGAGCCCUGACAACAGUGCUUCCAUAGAAAUAACAGUGCAUUUUACCACUGACAAGGGGAGCAGAGCAGACUACUGAUUUGAAUGUGGUACUACCCCAACCUGAAAGUGCAUAGGCUUGACCGAUAUAAUGUGUUGCUUCAUUCUUCUGAAACAGUUUUUUUUCCCUUGCCUGCAAAUUAAAAGAAGUCUUUGGAAUCCAUGGGGGAGGGGGAUUUUGGAGCCGCCAAAAAAUCUUGGGUUUGUUUGGAAAAAAAAAAAAAAUCUGUUGCUCAACAUUACCCCCAGCAAGAGACUUCCCUGUAAAAAGAAUAAAACUCAUAUAAUUUAUUAGGUUUUAUUUCAGAGUGUAGACUCUAUCCCAGACCCUGCUUGGUGUGUUGCAAAUGCCUAGCCUUGUUGCUCAACAGUGAAGUUCCAGUCUCUAAAUUCAGUUGAGAUCAAGUGAUUUUUGGUGCUUUUUUCCAUUAAAUGAGAUCAUCUGCUACUGAAAAGUCUCCUAUUUAUUCUCCUUGGCCCCUAUCCUAGUGCAUACUGUUACCAUGAUUGCUAUUCUAUCAUUAUGGCUUUCAGGGAGACAAAGCACUUUUAGCAGGAUUUUCCAGUUACCUGGCAUGGAGAAAGGCAAAUUUGGUUUUCAUUAUUUCUCAACAUCAUUGUCAAGACUAUGCUGACAUGUACAAGAAAAUAGUGUAUAAAACUAUCAAAACAUUAUUAAAAAAAAACUGUUUACAUUGGGUAACUUGAGAAACGCAGAAGAAUGUGAUGAGUGCUGUUUAGAGAACUAUGGCAAGAGCAUUUGGAAAAGUUUACCACAUAUCUUUAAUAUCCCAGAGGAUUAUACUGUUUUUUCCUUUGCAUAAUUUUUCCAUGAAUAAUCUUCCAAAUGUUAUAAAUGAAUGUCGCUUUUACAACCUUUUAUUAAAACACAGGAACACAUAUGGUCUCUAGAGUAAAAAAAAAGUUAUAGUCCAUUAAUUUUCUUCUUAAAAAUAUCAACAAAUAAACUAGUAGAAAAUAUACAGAGAGGAGCAUGAAAGAUGAGCUAUUCACCAUAGGUUAGGAUAAUAGAAAGAAUACCAGAGACUUUUCAGGAAGAAAAUUCUCAACUUUCAUGCUCCUCUCUGUAUAUUUUCUACUAAUUUAUUUGUUGAUUUUUAUUUUAAGAGAAAAUUAAUGAACUAUGACUUUUUUUUUACUCUAGAGACCAUAUGUGUUCACAUAUGUGUGUGUAAGAAAUAAAACUGAUAUUCACUAACUCUAUUUGCUAAAACUUACUGUUGACAUUCAAAGCCACGGGGCCUACAGUCACACCUCCUGACUGCAGUGCAGACCUCCCCUUAUAGUGUGACGGGGAGUUUAGUCUCCAUUGACCAUUCAGCUCUGGCCUCCCUUCUGAAACUGCCAAGAAGGGACCACCUGGUGCCAAUUUUGUGAUGUGAUAACAUAUGGGGAUUUGUCAAAGUUAACAUAAUAUAUGUCAAAUAAAAUAUAAAAAGGACCGUAAAGGAGUCUGUCAGGCAUCAGUGCCUCAGACUAGUAUAUUAGGUGAGCUUCCCUCACAAUAUGUCAUCAUAAAGGUAAUGGCUGUAGCCUCAGAGUUUACUUCAAUAGAUUUUGACAAUUACUCAAUCAUUUUCUGUACCUGUCUUCUAGUGGGCUAAGUACAUUUACCUUAUUGAUGCUUCCCCCAACAGCUAUGAGAGCACAGCUGGCAGAAAGCUGUUAAGUUAAAAGGAAAUAUAUUGUCCAUGCUUUCUUUAAAUAUAUUGUCUAAACUUUAUUUAAAAAAAAAUUCUUCCAGGUGGACACUAUGACUCAACUGAAGCAAAACAUGGUGGUCAAAUCUCUUGCCCUCUGGGUGUAGUAUGCUUUUAUAAAGUAUCCCGGAGAUUAGGCUCUAUGAAUUAAAAUAAAAGUUGGAAAUCAAUUAGGACACUGUAGAGAACUGUUUAUGUUGAGAAGUGAAUCCCACAUAAUAAAAUGGUGAAAAGUGGUUGUUCUCUUCUUAAUGGCUGUAUCAGCUCUAAUUGCUUUUACAAAAUCUUGUUCUCAAUUUUGUUUUGGGAAGCUUUGGUUCUGCACAGAUUUUUUUUUUAAAGCCAAUUCUUGGUAGCAAACUUACUGAUUGAUAAAAAUGUCUUAAAUUCCACACAUUUCUUCAUUGAUAUCAAUCAGCUUCAAAAAUGGGUUCUGAAGAUUUGCAUGGAACAGAGCGCUCCAUGGCAGGCUUAUGAGACCACGUUUCACACAAGUAUAACAUUUUCUUCCUGGGCUGUAAACUUCUGGGAGGAAAAAAAAAAAAGGUAGAUCUUAUCCUAGAAGCUCAGCCAAUACCACUUUAACAACAGCACCAGGAAAGUAGCCAUCUAAACCAUGAGGCAGCAAUCGAGGGGUUGCAGGAGGAUUAGACAACUCUCAUUUCUACAAAAUAACUGGCUGUUAAAGCACUCAGCACAAACUAUUUAUUGGUUACUGAGGCAACCAUUAAAACAAACAGCAAAACUAAAUGUCAGACUCCGUGUUUACAUGGAAAAUUAUGCUUUCCUUUGAAUCUAAAAUACUGGACGUGCCAUACAGAUUACAUCACCAGUGUAGUGCAUCUACUGCCAAAAGGCUACAAAUGUGCAAACAUCCUGGUGUCUCUGCCUUUCCAGUUGUAUGGCUUUUUGAAUGUUUUGUUUUUUUAACUCUUAAGUGUCACCUGCUCUAGGGCUAAAAAAAUAAUGAAUUUAAGUAGCUUGUUAUUUUAAUGCUUCAGCCACUUCCAGGGCUGACCAUAUUGGGCUGAAUUCUAUCCCCAGUUACAGCUGUGCAAAUAAAAUGGUUACCCACUUUUUUCGUAACGAUUGUUCUUCGAGAUGUGUUGCUCAUGUCCAUUCCGUUCUAGGUGCGUGUGCGCCCAUGUGCGCGGUCAUCGGAGAUUUUUGCCUUAGCAGUAUCCGUAGGACCAGCUGUGGCGUCCCCUUGAGUGCCAUGCUCAUGUGUUGGUAUAUCAGGUGCCACCGGCCCUAAACCCUCUGAGUUUCUUCUUGCCGACAACUCCGACAGAGGGGAAGGAGGGUGAGUAAUGGAAUAGACAUUGAGCACCACAUCUCGAAGAACAAUCAUUACAAAAAAGGUGGAUAACUGUUUUUUCUUCUACAAGUGAUUGCUCAUGUCAAUUCCAUUCUAGGUGAUGCACAAGCAGUAUCAAUGGAGACGGGUUCAGAGUGCAUGGUCUUGCAGUUUGCAGCACUGCUCUGCCAAAGCCAGCAUCGUCUUGAGCUUUCUGGGUAAGUGCAUAAUGAGACAUGAACAUGUGGACAGACAACCAGGUAGGGGCUCUACAGAUCUCUUGGACGGGUACCUGUGCCAGAAAGGCCGCUGAUGACGCUUGUGCCCUAGUCGAGUGUGUCGCCAUGAUUGCCGGCAGAGACACUUUGGCCAGUCAUAGCAGUAGCAGAUGCAGGCUGUGAUCCAGGACGAAAUCCUCUGAGCAGACACCGGGCAACCUUUCAUUCUGUCUGCCACCGCUACACACUACUGCGUUGGCUUAUGGAACGGCCUUGUUCUAUCUAUAUAGAAUGCCAGCACCCUCCUGACAUCCAAGAUGUGUAGCCUACGCUCCUCAUCUGAUGCAUGAGGCUUUGGAAAGAAGAUGGGCAAGUAUAUAUCCUGGCUAGUAUGAAACUGGGAAAUGACCUUGGGCAGAAACGAUGGGUGCGGUCACAGCAGGACCUUAUCCUUGUAGAAGACUGUAUAGGGCGGCUCCGAAAUAAGCACCCUGAUCUCAGACACCCUGGAGGCUGCCAUUAUCGCAACCGGGAAUGAAACUUUCCAGGCUAGAAGUAGGAGAGAGCAGAAAGCCAGAGACUCAAAUGGAGACCCCCCAUGAACGUCGACAACACAAGAUUCGGUCGCAGGAGGGACAGGAUCCCGGACAUGUGGGUAGAGAUGCUCCAGACCUUUCAAAAACUGUGCCAUCAUGUUGUGAGAAAAGAUUGACCUGCCUUGGAAUGGAGGAUGGAAAGCCCAUAUAGUGACCAGCUGGACCUUGAUCGAUGACAGGGACAAACCUUGGAGUUUGAGGUGCAGCAGGUAAUCCAGGAUCUCCUGAAGCAUGGCCCAGCACAUGAAUCUUUUCCAUUUAGCCAGGUAAGUCACUCUGGUGGAGGGUUUCCUGCUACCCAGCAAGACCUUCUGGACAAGGGCCGAGCAUGCCCGUUUGUCUGUGCUUAGCCAUGCAGUAGCCAAGCCAUCAAAUGCAGCACUGCCAGGUUGGGAUGCAAAAGGCUGCCAUGGCUCUGUGAUCUGGCCAGAGGGGCAGCUGCAGUGGGGGGGCUACCGAAAGGCUCGGCAAUGUGCCGAACCAGUGCAAAAGAGGCCACGAAGGGACUAUUAGGAUAACUUUUGCCCUGUCUUGCCUGAUCUUCACAGGACUCUGUGAAUCAGCAGCACUGGCAGGAAGGCAUACAUCAGUCCCCCUGACCAUGGAAUGAGAAAGGCAUCUAACAGGGAGCCCCUGUCCAUUCCCCAGAUCAAACAGAAUACGUGGCACUUUCUGUUCUGCCUGGAUGCAAACAAGUCCACCUGGGGAGUCCCCCACCUCUGGAAGAUUAUGCUAACCACCUCUGGAUGGAGUGACCACUCAUGGUGAGAGAACAGAUCCCUGAUGAGGCUGCCAAGGCCUUGGUGGUGGGGGCAGCCGGAAAUGCUUCUGUGCAGACUGCAGCAUAUGCAUGCCCAGCGAGUGAAGGGUGGCCCGAGUGUCCUUCAACCCAUGCAACCUCAUAUCCAUUUGUUUGGAGAAGAGACCAUUCCCACUGAAUGGGAGAUCUGGAUCUUGAAUGGGAGGAAUGGAUCGAGAUCUGCAUCUCUUGGGAAAGGCCAGUGGUCUGAAGCCAGGAGAUGUGUCUCAUAACCACCGCCACUGCGACCACCUUAGCCGCUGAGUCCCACGCCACCUGAAGGAAGCAUCUAGCCGCUGCAGUGCCUUCCUCCACCAGGGUGCCAAAUUCUUGGGCCAAAACCUGCAGGAGGGACUCCUUGAACUUAUGGAGGGAGAAUCAUGAAUUAAAAUUGUACCUGCCCAAAAGGGCCUGAUGGUUCGCCAUCUGGAAUUGUAGGCUGGCAGUGGAAUAAAUUUAUCUCCCAAAAA